rnacentral:lncRNA from 1 species
GUUGACGCCCCCAACCAGUUUCUCCCCAACGUCAUCAGUUCUACCGGCGGUGAUCCUCUAUAACGUCUUCAUGUCCAGUCCACAGCCAUCCCAGACCCCUCCAUGAUGGUCGCCCCUUCUCCUCCAUUGCGGACCGGCUUCCCUGACCCGUCCCAUCGACCUAAGGUUGUCGUCGCCCCUGCCAACUUCCUCGGUGGUGAUGAGCUCUUCUUGUCCAUGUGGGUAUAUCUACAACCUCGAAAAAAUUAGCUCAAAACUCGAUGUACAUUUAGAGAUUCAAAAAGAUAAAUUCAGAUGUGAAUAGUAUUUUGGAACUAUUCACGUUCAAUUUUGUCUUUUUUGUUUCUAUUAAUGUAGGUCGAAUUAGGAGCUGAAUCUUUUUGUGGUUGUAUGUCAACCAUUGAUAUGUGGCUACAAUUUUUUUGAGAAUGUUCGAAUAUGUAUUUAAAAAAAAAUAGAUUUCAUUGAUCUCACCUAAUGUGUGACUUUUCUGUCUUUUUG